ACAACAUAAGUAAUUUGAAUUAUCAUCGUAUAAUACUUGCAUUUUUUCAAAUACCCCUCACGCCAAACACUGUUGCAUUUGAUAAAUAUUUAUAAAUGGUGAGUGUCGCUCAUGUUACCAUAAUAUAGUUAUAGUUCAAUCUGUUAUUCAUACGAAAUAAAAUUGAUUAAUGAAGAAGUCUAUCUAAACUGUUUGUAGUCUUUU
rnacentral:lncRNA from 1 species